AGCUCCAAUAGCGUAUGUUAAAGUUGUUGCGGCUAAAAAGCUCGUAGUUGGAUUUCUAGAUGAGAGGAGUGGUCCACUCUACGAGUGUGUAUCUACUUCCGCUCGUCUAUCCGCUCAGCGUGCAUUGCUGCGCUUGAUUGCGUGGCGUGUUGGUUGGGCCUUUUACUUUGAGGAAAUUAGAGUGUUCACGGCAGGCAAUCGCCUUGAAUAUAUUAGCAUGGAAUAAUAACAUAGGAUCUUGGUUCUAUUUUGUUGGUUUCUAGGACUAGGAUAAUGAUUAAUAGGGACAAUUGGGGGCAUUCGUAUCGCGGUGCUAGAGGUGGAAUUCUUAGAUUUCCGCGCGACGAACUACUGCGAAAGCAUUUGCCAAGGAUGUUUUCA
rnacentral:rRNA from 1 species